UCCUAUUGACCAAGACUUAUGUUGAUACUGGUGCAACACAAGAUUUUAUCCCUUCAGAUUCAACAAAGAAAAUUACACUGCAUCACAAAUGUAGUUUCCUAAUUUGAAGUUUUUGAAAAAAAAAAUACAAUAUUGAGGGCUAUGUGGGUUUUUUUAAACAUGCUGCACAAUGAAAGAUGGCAAGGCCCUGACAAUGUAGUGCAAACUGACCACUGUAAUCAUUGCAAACAUAAGCCUUUAUUCUAGGAUAGAAACUUAAAAUUAUUAAAAGAAACACAUCUACAGGAUCUUCUUUUGCCUUACUGAAUCAUCAUAGUCAAUCUAAAAAUGAAAAAAAAAAAAAAAAGAGUAAGGAACCCUGCAAUUCAGAAGUGCUCCACAUGGACUACAUUUUUAGAGGGUGCAAAUACAUUAGAAUAUAUCAAUGUAUAUGAACAAAUUAGUGUAAAAAGGUGUGUUCCAGAGGCUUCUGAAUGUGUGCACACUAUUAAAAUCUGUCUGAGAUCUGUUUGGUGAAAGCAACAAUUAUCUUUCUUAUUAAAGAAUAUGCAAUUACAGCCCUUUUAGCACUUCCUGCUUCCUUCAACAAUGAGGACCUGUCUGCACUGCAGAUUAUAAGGUCCUCCACUGUUUCACUGGGUCACCAGACUAAACAGGCCAAGCCACUUUCACAGCAAUUUAUUCCAUAUUUUCUCUUUUGGGCCGGCCAACUUCUUUUAUAAUAAAACUGGGCCUAGCCAGAGAUUUACAGGACUGUCACCACAGGAGAGAUAGCUCCUGUAAAUUGGCAUAGAAUGCUGUUUAAAUUUAAACACCAAAAAAAUUUUGUCAAGUCCCUAAUGUAUCUGAUGUCAUAUCUAUUAUCUUUGAAUUCUUCAUCAGACAUUGAAAAAUAUGAUCUUCAGACUUCUCACGCUUACACAAAAGUUACCAUGGCCAUAGAGCCGGUGCAAAUACUUUAUAUAUUAAACUACUAUUUUAGUUCAUGGUAUUUGUCUGUCAUCAGAAAAACCAGAAAGUCUACAGUUCAGAUUUCUCAGGAUCUGAGAAUGGUUUGAUUAAACUACAGAUGUUAAUUAAGACCCAAAUCUGUAUCUUCAUGCAUAGCCAGAAUAACCAGCUUGUUAGCUAGGGAAAGCCCAAGAUAUUUAGAAUAUUCCAUAUUGUAGGAUGUAGAUCACAAGUGGAAGGGUUCCAGGACAGCUUUGUAACCUACUCUUCAGUUAUAUCAAGCAGGUUUGGGGAAGGCAAGACAGAUGGGGCAGACUGUCUGAACUGUGCCCAUACAUCCUAUAUGGCAAAAGCAGUCAGUUAUGCUGUGGCAGAGGAAAUCCAUGCAGUGGACUGCUGUCAAGUCUUUGGAGGAAUUUUCAUCUCCUGAUUUUGGAAGCUUUCAAAUAGGCAAAAUAAAAGUAUUUUUAAAGAAGAAAUAAGCAUCUUUAAAUAUUAUUGCACUUUUCCUAGAAAAGGCCAACAUUUUAGUAUGUAUUUCCAUUAUAAUUUAGAUAAAUUCUAUAAAAAUAUAAUUUUCACCUUGCAUCCCACAGGACUCAAAAUAAAUAUGAGUGUCUAGCCAUGUUAGCCAUUAGAGCUUCUAAUGGGAAACACUUACAGAGAGAACUUUCAUUAUAAGUAAUAUGCAAUCCAACAGUUUCCUGUGCUGUCCUUUGUGAUGCAAAAUAAAAAUGGACCAGAAACUGUACCAAGAUAACAGUUCCCAGCAGAUACCAAGUAUUGCUGUUAUUAUGAAAUAAACUGUUAUUAAUAAUUAGAUACUGAUUUAUAUAGUUUAUGGUCUAAUCCUAUAAAGCAUUAUGGUGCUCCAACUCUGAAUUUUUUUGUCCCAUGGUUCCCUGUCAGGUAUCCAGAAUCAUGUUUUGAAAGCAUUACUUUCCUGCAGCACAGCAGAAGAGACACCUGGGUGGCCUGGAAAACAGCCAGCACAGCAUGUCUUGACCUCAACAUAAGACAGCUGGAGUUAACCAGGGGAAAAAUGGUUUGUCCCAAAUCUACAAUCCUGCCUCCUUCUAAAGCAAAGCUCUACCUGAGGGUUACCUCUAAAGACAGGGCUCUACCCAGGGCUGUCUGAGAGAUGCCUCCAUCCAAUCAGUAUCUACACCCUCGUUCUUUUUAUGAAAAUAGGUCCCUGUGAUCUUUCCUUCAAAACUUAUGUUUUAUUAAAACAUAGCUGGAGGAGAAGCUGGCUUCCCAUCUCCCUCUAUAUAACAACUCUGUGAUUAGAGCACUAAUGCAAUCAUGGGAUUCAUCUCUGCUGCCCUGAAAGGCCCCAAUUUACAACUCCUCUCACCCCAGGGAGGACUCUGACCACCAGGCUGAUGGUUAUUUUAGAAGGGGCAGUCUCGACCCUUUUGCUGAAACAGUGCCCUUGAGCACAAACGAAUUCAAGAUUCCUUAGAUCAUAAUCUUAUGUUUAGUUUAUUCCCAGGGCUGGGGCACACACUGAGUUUUCUUGGGAUUAUUUUUGUCUUCACUAUGUUAAAUUGUUGUGAAAUACAUACAAUAUCCCCCUAAAAAAAUUAAUUACAAAAACAAAAAUAAGAGUAAAAAUAAAAAUAAUCCUGGGAUUAAGUCCCAUUAUUACCACAGUGACCCUUCUGCAUUUUGUCAAGAAUGCAGUCAUGUCAGGGAGUUUGGGCACACUCCACGAGUAACCAGGGGGCCAAGCUGACCAAGACACUCAGGCAGAAUAACAUUGCAGGUCUAGAGGACCUGGGUGGGCAUGAACAGUCCUGAACGGCCACUUAGGAGUCCCAAGUGGAAAAGCAACUAACUCUAAGGCAAACCUAGUGCUUUGAGGUUUAGGCAAAUUCUUAGAAGAGGUUUUGUGAAUCACAGCUGUUUGUUCACAUGUUUGAAUUCUACCCGAUUCCCACAUUUCAACCAUCCACAUCCUUUUAUUGACCAAAACACAAGUAUUGACAGAGACAUCUUUGUGCUCCCAAAAUAUCUUUUUAUUUAGGAAAAAAACAGCAGCAGUUACUGAAGAUCAUCAACAUUGAAAGCAUUGAGUGGCUACCUUCACAGAAUAAUGCCUGUCACAGCUUAUCUGACAGACUGAUUAUUCAAAGUCUGGUGCACCUAUGGUUGGGAAUCAUAUUACAAGGCUUAGGGUUUCACACUUAAACUGCCCUGUCUGUCCACAGGAAGAAUUAUGCUAAAUCCCGUUUUCACUUCACAAUAUUCCUCAGGUGAAAAUUUAACUUUGGAGAAGUAAAAUGUUUAUUUUGACAUUGUGACUGAUGUCUGCUACUCUGUGAAAGAAAUAUUAAUAAAAGGCCUAAUUAACUAGAUACUGUAAACUCCAAACCAAAGACAUGUUUCUCUGAAACUUCCUUAUUCUGGGCACAUUCUCUUUAGGCCCUUACAGAAUCUUUACAUUUCUAGAAACCAAGUGUACUUUUGUCUCUAAACAGCACAGUAAUGAGGUGUUUAUAUCUUCACCUAUAGCAGAAAAAGCUUUUUCACUAGAUUUAACAAGAAUACAAGAAAAAAAAAAGCUAAAUUUAUCCUAUUUACUCUGGGUUUGUACACUUAUUUACUAAGAUCUAGUGGCACACCUUGUAAUUCCUAGUUAGGUAUUCAAAAUUGCAACAUGACUACAAGUUAAAUAUAAUUUGUGAAAUAUAUGCCAUAUUUGAUAAAAAAUGCAUGUAGUCAGAAUCAUAUGAUUUAAUUUGCAUAGAUGUAAAAACGGAAUUUAUUAUACACAACCUAUAUUCAUAAAAGUAGACAGUCACCUGGUUUAUCUUCACUGGUUUAAUCUGGCAGUGUCUCAAUACAGGCAACAGAAUUUUUAAAAGCAGCCAAGUGGAAGUAGAAGAGAACAGACAACAUGCAGUAAAAGUGGUUCACACAAAUAGUGAUAUAUCUCCUUCAAUCCUUUAAAAGUUAUACUUUUGGACUUUCAGAUGGAAGAAGGAGACAGCAGCCAGGCAAAACAGAAGUGAGUCUGACAUCACUGAUGCAUCUGCAAAAACUUGAUCUACUUUUCCAAAACGCAAAGUUUUACAAGGAAAUCUACAGGAUACACUUUGGUUUUUUAGGUAAUCCAAAGACCUCCUGUAACAGAGAUGUGGAGCAGAAAGCAGUUACUAUCUUGGAGAGAGGCCAAAUGGACUGAGGUACUGUGUAGCAUAAAGGCCUGGAAACAUGGACCUUCACUGUAUGAUUGGAGAGAACUUAAACUAGUUUGGAGACAGAAAAAUGAAUAUGUUAUUAUUGACAUGAUGCCCACUUCAGUAAAGAACUUUUCAGAAUAGACAUUCAAGUAGCAAGGUCAUAUAGGCCUGAGCUCAAGAGAUUGGUGUCUAACCAACAAAGAGUAGAAUAACCAACCAACUGCAGAAAUGCACUAAAGAUAUAUUCAAAAAAAGACAUCUGACUAUCUUCCACUGAGCUACUAGCAAAAUGAAACAUCAAAAAAGGUUGUGGCACAGAUGGCAAUGGCCACUUGCAUUUAAGGUAUGCACAGAAGGCUACUUCAGCAUGGUUGUAACUGUUGAUUAUCAAUUUCAUCUACAACAGAUAACAUUUAGAACUAGUUGGAACACAGUUCAAACCAAGUCUUAACGUUUCAUCAAGCUGCUGAGACAUCCAUGUGUACUCCAUGCCAAUAUGCAGGUUUCUUUGCUAUGUUUCACAAAUAAUACCAUAUAAAUAGUUUUCAAAACGUAGGCUGGAGCUUUUGUAUGUUAAGAAGGAAAAAAUACCCAAAUGUUAUUUUCAGUUUCUGAUGUGCUCAGCUUAAGCAAACCAUGAUGAAAGCAAGCAAUUAUAAAGAAUGAUAGGUGGCAUGUGGUGGUUUUCACUGAUAUAGCAUUAUCCACACACUACAAGCUGGAAAUAAACCAUUCUUGAUAAUGUACAUAUUACUUGAGAACGACACAAGUAUCUGAGCACUACUGAGAGUUCUGUUCCUCAUGUAUAAUUUCAGGCAGAAGAUGGCCUUCUCUGUCAACGAUGGGUCAACAUACCUUUCAAGUAGACACACAUUCCUACAGCGUUUCUUCUUGGAAAUGAACAUUUCGUUUCAAGCCCCAGGUAAUAUCAGAUACAGAAAAAAGCUCACAUAUAUAUGUAUUUAGUCUCUGGAUCCAUGUGGAUUCUUUUAACCCCACUCUACUCCUCGCUGAACUUCACUUUCCACCCCUCUGUACUCAUGUCUAAACAUAAAGGUAUUUACAUGUCUGAAAGGAACUGGAAAGCAACUGUGAUAUUUCCCAGAGGAUUUUAAAGCUCUUCUCACACAAAACCAACACAUCAUUAUGUCACAGUGGCACUUCAAUGAGGGGCACCUCAGGAAGGGCCUCUGACAUGGUUAUGAUUAGCAGAUUCGUCACUUUCAUUACCUCACUUGUAAAAGAAAGACUGGAACAGAAAUAUUUUCAGUUAGUAUUAUCCUUCCCUGGAAUCAGUUAUGUCUAUAGGCCUUAUAGGAUGUGCCAUCAAUAGGAUGGUCUUUGGAUAAAUGUACUGUUAUACACUGCUGGAAGUACCUAAAACUGAUGGGUCUUUGAAAUUGUGUGUGUAUCUGCUGUUCCUUGGCAGGUUCUAAAUCCACAAAUUCAUGAGUGGCUUAUUGUGAUUCAUAUGUCACUUUCAUUUUUGGCAGGUAAUGCUAAUGGUAUUGGAGAAUGACUAUUUGAAUGAGAUCUGCACCCACUUCUCUCAAAUCAGGACUCUAAAAAUGCUCAGAAAGGAGCUGUCAGCAUAAAUAAAAAAAUAAUUUAAAAAGAAUGUAUACUUAUUCUGUAUAGGCUUUCAACUGCACAAUUCGAGACAUCAGGGAUGAGCAGGAUGAACAGGACUUUCUGUAGUUCCUUUCUAAGCAUUUUAGCAUCUAUAGCUCCUUUCUGAGCAUGUAGAAGGCUGGGCAAGGAAACAUCUAGGGGGGGAAAUUGAGGAAGAGGAAAUAUCUAUGUGUCAGUAAUAGGAAAGUUAUAUUGUACAUCUGUUUUUUAGGCAUGCUUUGAUGACAUGCCACAGCUAAAGGGCAGGCAGUAUAUGUGUUGCUUCAGUGACAUGAAUGACACAACUUUGUAAAACUCACUGCUUAAUGACAUAAAUCGUAACUCUCAAACACAGUAUACGGUUGUCCCAUAUGUAUUUCAGUGUUUAGACUCAUACUAGGUAUUUUGAUACUGAAAGCACUGAAGGAGCACUAUGCUGAAAACCAGUGCACACUGGGUAAGCAAGAGCACCUUAUCUGUACUAAUGCUGGACUUACCAUCAUAGCUUGUUGGUUUGUAACAAUACCAUAACAUUUAGCUAAUAUUGUUUACAGCAGCCCAAUGACAAGCAAUUCUAUUCCCAUUACUGCUCACAGUCUGGUAUUAAAUAUUUGUUUCCAAAGUAAACUGCCUGAUGUAGCUGAAAAGUAUUACCACACUUUUUUAAAAAAAAGCUGAAUAAACCUUACCUGUUAAAAACAAAAUGUGACCUUAAAAAAAGUGUGUGUGUUUUGACUAAUAGACAAAGUUGAUGAAAAAUAAGGUUUAUGCUACAUUUCUAUUUUAAAGAGGGGUUUUCAAUAGUGCACUUGGGGAUCUUUAAAAGGGAGCUUGGUCUAAACUCAGUUACAGUUCUGGAUCUGGUCUUAAAUCCAUGUGUAGCCUCAGGCAAAUGUGUUAAUUUUCCUGUUUCAGUUUCCC
rnacentral:lncRNA from 1 species